AGCAGCCGCGGUAAUUCCAGCUCCAAUAGCGUAUAUUAAAGUUGUUGCAGUUAAAAGCUCGUAGUUGAAUUUCGGGAUCAAUUAAUUGGUCGUGCCUCUGGUACGCACUGGUUUUAUUGGUUUCUCCCUUCUGACGAACCACGAUGUCAUUAAUUUGGUGUCGUGGAGAAUCAGGACUGUUACUUUGAAAAAUUGAGUGUUUAAAGCAGGCUAACGCUUGAAUACAUUAGCAUGGAAUAAUGAAAUAGGACGUUUGAUCCUAUUUUGUGGUUUCUAGGAUCGACGUAAUGAUUAAUAGGGAUA
rnacentral:misc_RNA from 1 species